GAUGAACGCUGGCGGCGUGCCUAAUACAUGCAAGUCGAGCGAACAGACGAGGAGCUUGCUCCUCUGACGUUAGCGGCGGACGGGUGAGUAACACGUGGAUAACCUACCUAUAAGACUGGGAUAACUUCGGGAAACCGGAGCUAAUACCGGAUAAUAUAUUGAACCGCAUGGUUCAAUAGUGAAAGACGGUUUUGCUGUCUCUUAUAGAUGGAUCCGCGCCGCAUUAGCUAGUUGGUAAGGUAACGGCUUACCAAGGCAACGAUGCGUAGCCGACCUGAGAGGGUCAUCGGCCACACUAGAACUGAGACACGGCCCAGACUCCUACGGGAGGCAGCAGUAGGAGAUCUUCCGCAAUGGGCGAAAGCCUGACGGAGGAAUGCCGCGUGAAUGAUGGAAGUGUACGGCUCGGAAGCCAGUUUUGGUAGGGGAGAACUAAUGUGUAAGUAACUGUGCACGUCUGGACGGUACCUACUCAGAAAGGCACGGCUAACUACGUG
rnacentral:rRNA from 1 species